CAUGACCUGAGCUGAAGUCAGCCGCUCAACCCACUGAGCCACCCAGGCGCCCCUAAAGACUUUAUUGAGGACUUCUCAUUAAUUACAUUUUUACUGAUAAGGAACCACUGUGGGUGGCACUGGGAGUGGGAAAAAUAUAUCUCUACUGGGAUCCUCUCCUAUGGCUGUGACCUGCGGAAGCUGGAGAUGGCAGGAUCCUGGGUCAGGACUAAGAAUGAGUUGGCUCUCUGGAGACCCAGGAGAGCUGAUGGUGUGAGUUCUAAUCCAAAAUCUGGCAAGCUGGAGACCCAAGGGGAGCCGAUGUUUCAGUUUACCUUCAAAGGCCAGAAAAGACAGAUGUCCCAGCUCAAGGCUGUCAGGCAAGAAGAGUUCCCUCUAACUCAGCCUUUUUGUUCUAUUCAGUUCUUCAGCUGCUUGGAUAAGGAUUUACUUAGUCUACCAAUUCAAAUAUUAAUCUCCAUAGACACACCCACAAUAAUGUUUGACCAAAUAUCUGGCACCCCAUGGCCCAGUCAAGUUGACACAUAAAACCACAUUACGUAUUUAUUAUAUAUAACAAAUCAGCUUACAGAGUAUGAACUGCUUUAUAAUCUAUUUGCAUUAUGGCAUUGACAUUAAGAACAUGGGUUUCAGAGUCAGUGGGCCUAGGUUUGAGUUGUGACCUUGAUAAGUCACCGAAGGGCUUUGAAUUUGUUUCCUUCUUUAUAAUACUGAUGUAAUAACAUGAUAUAACUUACAGAGUUGUGAUGAGAAGUAAAUGAAAUGUUGCAGAUAAAUUGCCUACCAGAGAAUAGGCAAUUCUCUGAUGUACCUGAUACACUGUGGCUAUUGUGUAUGUCAAUCAAUGUGGCUCCACUCCAUCCAUUUUUGAUAAAUGGAUAGUAUUCUAUUACAGGGAUGAAUCCUAAUUUAUUUAACUGACUCCUAUUGAUGGACAUUUAGGUUGUUUCUAAUUGUUUCCUGUUCCAAACAAACAAACAAACAAACAAACAAACAAACAAAGAUAGUCUUAUCAACUUAUUUAUUUAGCAGAAAUUCAUAAAAUUAGAAUGACUGGGUCAAAAAUAUACUACUUAUCUUUAAUUUUGAUGAAUAUUGCCACAUUGUUCUCUGGAAAUGUUCUAUCAAUUUAUUUCUCUCCCAUCCUCACAUUUGAGAUCAUGCCCAGUUGUCCAUAACCUUACCUAAACUCAGCACUAUCAAUCAUUUAUGUCUUUGCCAAUCUGAUAUUUAAAAGACAUCUCGCUUGUUUUAAUUUCCAUUGCUUUUAUAAAUGGCAAGCUUGAGCAAAUUCAUAUACUUAAUGCCCAUUAGUAUUUCUUCUUUUGACCCUUCUUAUCUAUAUGACCACUUUCCUAAUAGGUGCUAAGAUACUGUUUUCUUAUUUUAAGUGCUCUUUAAAAUCUUCAACAGUAUACUAAAAUCUCAAACUUAUAUGCCACUUAAUAUAUGUCAGGUGCUGUUCUAAAUGCUUUACAUGUACUAAUUAAUUUAUUCCUCAAAAAUCCUAUAAAUUUGGUACUAUUAUUAUUCUCAUUUUACAGAUAAAGAAACUGUGUGACACAUGAAAGUUAAAUAACUUGCUCAAGAUCUUGCAGCUGGUAAGUGGUAGAGUCAGUUGCUCAUAGGCAUUUGGCUACGUCCAUGCUGUACCCAUUGUCAUAUAUGCUGCAAAUCUUUCUUUUCCCAAUUUGUAUUUGUCAUCAAACUUUGUUUACAGUGUCUUUCUUCCAUACAGAGCUUUUAAAUUUUUAAGCGUCCGACUUCAGCCAGGUCACGAUCUCGCGGUCCGUGAGUUCGAGCCCCACGUCAGGC